GGGGUUGUAUCUCAAUGGUAGAGUGCUUGCCUAGCAAGUAUGAGGUACUGAGUUUGAUUCUCAGCACCA
rnacentral:tRNA from 1 species